rnacentral:rRNA from 1 species
AGUGAACGCUGGCGGCGUGCUUAACACAUGCAAGUCGAACGAGAACGGAUUAUAGCUUGCUAUAAUUGUCAGCUAAGUGGCGCACGGGUGAGUAAUGUAUAGGUAAUAUGCCUCUUACUAAGGGAUAACAAAUGGAAACGUUUGCUAAUACCUUAUACUCCUUAUUAACAGAAGUUAAUAAGGGAAAGAUUUAUUGGUAAGAGAUUAGCCUGUAUUGUAUCAGUUAGUUGGUGGGGUAAUGGCUUACCAAGACUAUGACACAUAACUGGUUUGAGAGGAUGAGCAGUCACACUGGAACUGAUACACGGUCCAGACUCCUACGGGAGGCAGCAGUGGGGAAUAUUGCACAAUGGACGGAAGUCUGAUGCAGCAACGCCGCGUGGAGGAUGACACAUUUCGGUGCGUAAACUCCUUUUAUAUGAGAAGAUAAUGACGGUAUUAUAUGAAUAAGCACCGGCUAACUCCGUGCCAGCCGCCGCAGUAA